rnacentral:tRNA from 1 species
AGCCUUGUGGUGUAAAACACAUCAGAUUGCAAAUCUGAAGAUGCGGGCUUAUCCCUGCUUGGGCUU